AACAGCUACAGUAGCUCUUUAUAAGAACCAUACAGUUUAAUGUAACACCAGCUACACUAGCUCAUUAUACGAACCAUACAGUUUAAUGUCACAGCUACGCUAGCUCAUUAUAAGAACCUUAAAGUUUAAUGUGAUAACAGGUCACUUCGUGCUGGCUUCUUGCACGACACCCUGGACUCUGAAAUUAAUGAAGCCUGUGAACAUGAAGCCACCUGAAGACGAAGCACCCUGCAGGGUCUGCCCAGAACACGUACAGAGCUGUGAGGGGAACACAGCUGACCGAUGACGCCAGCAGCAGCCCGAUAAACAGCUGACCAAAGACCGGAUACUCCUUCACCACUGACUUACCCUGAGAACACAACAGGCAUGGUUAAAGUGAAGGUAAAAUAACACAUGACAUACCCUAUGCUCUUCAACUGAUCAACAUUUCAGAAGUUUCUGUGGAGGAGUCUUUUCAAUCAAUCCAGCACUCCACAAAGAUUGAUUUACUUCAUAGCCCAGCACUGUUCUCUUAACAUCCAUGAUUGUGACGUGAUGAGAGGAAAGAGUCCACAUUGCGAAAUAUUUUCUUUAGUGAAUGGUUUAUUAAAGACUUUAUGGUCUCAGUCUUUCAGGCCCUCUUCAGAUAAUACACCCUGACUAUAAAGCUAGCUCGCACUACCAGUGAAAGAUAACUCAGGUAAUUCCUCACUCCUCUUGGCCCACCCUCUUGGUGGUCACUUCUGGCUUGAAAAAGAGAAGUCAGUUGGGGUAGAUACAAGGAGACGUAUAACAUUAACAUCUAUAAAUGUUGUAUGCAGAUCAUUAAACUUGGUUUCAUCUUUAAGCAUAGAUGAGAUGAGUCUUUCACUGUGUCUAUGCAGACUUUUGCUUCGAUGUGAUUUA